rnacentral:lncRNA from 1 species
CCUGCCCCUGGCUUUACCCCACAGCAAAACCUGGCCUUGUCCCUGUCCCCUGGCUUUACCCCACAGCCAACCCUGGCCUUGUCCCUGUCCCCUGGCUUUACCCCACAGCUGGAACCACCCAUCAUCUGGCCUUGUCCCCUGGCUUUACCCCACAGCUGGAACCACCCUUACCCUGGCCCUGUCCCUGGCUUUACCCCACAGCUGGAACCACCCUUAUCCUGGCCCUGUCCCCUGGCUUUACUCCACAGCAACCCUGGCCUUGUCCCUGUCCCCUGGCUUUACCCCACAGCUGGAACCACACUUACCCUGGCCCUGUCCCCUGGCUUUACCCCACAGCAACCCUGGCCUUGUCCCUGUCCCCUGGCUUUACCCCACAGCUGGAACCACCCUCAUCCUGGCCCUGUCCCUGGCUUUACCCACAGCUGGAACCACCUUACCCUGGCCCUGUCCCCUGGCUUACCCCACAGCUGGAACCCACUUACCCUGGCCCUGUCCCCUGGCUUUACUCCACAGCAACCCUGGCCUUUUCCCUGUCCCCUGGCUUUACCCCACUAGCAACCCCUGGCCCUGUCCCCUGGCUUUACCCCACAGCUGGAACCACCCUUACCCUGGCCUUGUCCCCUGGCUUUACCCCACAGCUGGAACCACCCUUAUCCUGGCC